AAGUCGAACGGUAGCAGUCCUUCGGGAGCUGACGAGUGGCGAACGGGUGAGUAACGCGUAGGAAUAUACCUUUUUGUGGGGGACAACUCGUGGAAACGCGAGCUAAUACCGCAUGUGCUCUUCGGAGUAAAGCUGGGGACCUUCGGGCCUGGUGCAAAGAGAUUAGCCUGCGUCCGAUUAGCUAGUUGGUAGGGUAAAGGCCUACCAAGGCGACGAUCGGUAGCUGGUCUGAGAGGAUGAUCAGCCACACUGGGACUGAGACACGGCCCAGACUCC
rnacentral:rRNA from 2 species